GCACCCAUAGCUCAGCUGGAUAGAGCGCUGCCCUCCGAAGGCAGAGGUCACUGGUUCGAAUCCAGUUGGGUGCACCA
rnacentral:tRNA from 1 species